GACGUAGGGCGCGAGCGUUGUCCGGAUUUAUUGGGCGUAAAGAGCUCGUAGGCGGCCUGUUGCGUCCGCUGUGAAAUCCCGGGGCUCAACCCCGGGCCUGCAGUGGAUACGGGCUGGCUAGAGGCAGGCAGGGGAGAACGGAAUUCCUGGUGUAGCGGUGAAAUGCGCAGAUAUCAGGAGGAACACCGGUGGCGAAGGCGGUUCUCUGGGCCUGUACUGACGCUGAGGAGCGAAAGCGUGGGGAGCGAACAGG
rnacentral:rRNA from 1 species